rnacentral:piRNA from 1 species
UAACACUAGAGUGUCAUAAAUUAGGAGAG